rnacentral:misc_RNA from 1 species
CCACCAGCCAACUUGCACCGGACUUCCAUGGAGAUUGCCGAGCGGGCAGCAUUGAUUGCGUCCUGUCUGCUGCUGCUUUCGGUAGCCCUAGUGGGUGUUCUCUGGUGCGCAUGCCGGCGCUCGCAACUGGGCAGCACUGUCCCUAUGGCAGCCAUCACAGAGACCGUGACACAGGCCGUCGUAAGAGCGGUCCUCUGAAAUAAGGUGGACUGGUGACUGACAUGUCAUUUCACUGCGCAGCUGCUGACUGAACACCUUUCCUCUGCUGUGUGUGCACGUCACUGACCGGGCGCAUGUGAUUCACCAUGGACAGCACAACUAUCAUUCUUGUCGGCUUUGCCACUCUCUUUGCGCUCAUAAUGUUCUCAUGCUGUUACUGCAACGCCAUAGCCGCACAUCGGUCACUGAAAGAGCAGCAAAAUGAUGGUACCGAGGUGGCAAUGUAUGCAACAGGGUUGCUAAUUAACAUGACAUCUGCGGACCAGUGUGUUGCUGAUGGAAGUGGUGGUGGGGUUGGUGAUGGUGGCACCGGUGCUGGUGAUGUGUGGGUUGACGGCGGUGUGUGUGGGGGUUUCUGAAAUGGCAGUUGCUGAGAAGUCUUAGAGGUACACUAAUGAGCACAAGUUCGAUUAGUAUGGUCCCUUUUUUUAGACUUGGAUAACAGGCAGGGAGAGGUUUGUUAUUAGUGGCGAAAGUGUGGAGUGAAAAUUGCAGUCUGGAACUUUAUGCGAGAUCCCCUUCGAAACGCUUCUAUUUAUCAGUAUGACUGUACAAAACUAUUUAAGCAUACUUGGGCAUUUCUGUGCAGUUAAAGAGCUAAGACCAAACUAAAAUGGUUUCUUAGUUUUUCAUCAUCCUUUUAACUUGUCUUAAACAUGUGCUGUUUGAAUAUAAUGGCUUGGGAAGCUAGCAUGAAAUAAUAUUGCACGGACUUGAGCAUCUGUAAUUCAUUGCGCUUCCUAAUUUCCAAAUAGUUGCUGAAAGCCUCAUCUUAAAGCAAGGUCAACAUGUAUCAAUCAUAUGUAGCACAUGUUUAUCAUUCUAUUAUGAGCUCAUCUUGGCUAACGCUGCACUUCUUUUUGCCAUCAGCAAUGUUAGUAGUAUUUCUAAGCAGACUGAUAUGCAGGAAACUUGUUCUGGUGCGUGGGAUCACUUCUUUUUUUUUUUGUGUGACAAAUGUUGAAGGCUAUAUAUAACCUUUUUUGUUUAUAGAUUAGCUUUUUUGCUUUACUUAACGCAUUGUAUUAUAUAUGUUCAUCCUAGUUUACCCAUAUAUAAAUGAACUUGGUAUAUCAUAGCUGUGCCCGAGUAACUGUAGGCACAGCAUUUCACAUGCUCGACUUUCUGUAGCGUGCCUUUCUUAACCACAUCUUGCGUUACAC